rnacentral:rRNA from 1 species
UACGCCAACGACGAAGGAGGACGGACCGUACGAGUAGGUCAUGAUUGGGGUG